UACAGAGGUCUCGAGCGUUAGGCGGAAUCACUGGGCUUAAAGCGUGUGUAGGUGGGUCGUUAAGUACCUUGUGAAAUCCCACGGCUUAACCGUGGAACUGCUUGGUAUACUGGCGGUCUUGAGCCACUUAGGGGCUACCGGAACAAAUGGUGGAGCGGUGAAAUGCGUAGAUAUCAUUUGGAACGCCAAUGGUGAAAACAGGUAGCUGGGAGUGUGCUGACACUGAGACACGAAAGCCAGGGGAGCAAACGGG
rnacentral:rRNA from 1 species